rnacentral:rRNA from 1 species
UACAUGUGGGGCAAGCGUUGUUCGGAAUUACUGGGCAUAAAGGGUGCGCAGGCGGCCGUGUGUGUGAGGCGUGAAAGCCCGGGGCUCAACCCCGGAAUUGCACCUCAAACUACAUGGCUAGAGCAUUGGAGAGGGUAGCGGAAUUCACGGUGUAGCAGUGAAAUGCGUAGAUAUCGUGAGGAACACCAGAGGCGAAGGCGGCUACCUGGACAAUUGCUGACGCUCAGGCACGAAAGCGUGGGGAGCAAAAGGG